CCGCGAAAACACCAUUUUAUUAAGAUAUCGAUCGAAGGUUUUCUUCUAAAGAGAGUCGGUCUGUAACCGAUGAGCUUACAUGGAAAAAUAAAAAACCUCGUACUCUUACUUUUUUAACAAAAACAAUCAGCACGAACAUUAGGAAUAAAUCUGAUAGAAAAAGAUGGAAAAGAAAGCUUCAAAAGCUUCAAAAGCUUAAAAUGUUGAAUCUCUACCGCAAAAACAAGACACACUUAGUGAAAAAGUAUUUUACCUUUUUCAAGAAGUCACUAAACAACAUUAGCCUUGAACCCCUCACAGCUCAAAUAACCAUCAUUGUAUAUAUGUAUCGGAACUCUUAUAUAUAUUCCGGAUCCGGGUCAUCUUCAAAUGGAACUCUUUGGCCGUUAUCUUCCAUCACCGACCAUAUCACAAAGAGCAAACGAUCUCUUCCCUGCAUUAAAUAGUCUAAAACCAAUGAUUUUUAUCGCCACACAUUCACAGAAAAUAUUUU
rnacentral:lncRNA from 1 species